GGGUUGUGAGGUUAAGCGACUAAGCGUACACGGUGGAUGCCCUGGCAGUCAGAGGCGAUGAAGGGCGUGCUAAUCUGCGAUAAGCGCCGGUAAGGUGAUAUGAACCGUUAUAACCGGCGAUACCCGAAUGGGGAAACCCAGUGUGAUUCGUCACACUAUCAUUAACUGAAUCCAUAGGUUAAUGAGGCGAACCGGGGGAACUGAAACAUCUAAGUACCCCGAGGAAAAGAAAUCAACCGAGAUUCCCCCAGUAGCGGCGAGCGAACGGGGAGGAGCCCAGAGCCUGAAUCAGCAUGUGUGUUAGUGGAAGCGUCUGGAAAGGCGCGCGAUACAGGGUGACAGCCCCGUACACAAAAGCGCAUGUGCUGUGAGCUCGAUGAGUAGGGCGGGACACGUGGUAUCCUGUCUGAAUAUGGGGGGACCAUCCUCCAAGGCUAAAUACUCCUGACUGACCGAUAGUGAACCAGUACCGUGAGGGAAAGGCGAAAAGAACCCCGGCGAGGGGAGUGAAAAAGAACCUGAAACCGUGUACGUACAAGCAGUGGGAGCACAGGUUUACCUGUGUGACUGCGUACCUUUUGUAUAAUGGGUCAGCGACUUAUAUUCUGUAGCAAGGUUAACCGUAUAGGGGAGCCGGAGGGAAACCGAGUCUUAAUUGGGCGUUAAGUUGCAGGGUAUAGACCCGAAACCCGGUGAUCUAGCCAUGGGCAGGUUGAAGGUUGGGUAACACUAACUGGAGGACCGAACCGACUAAUGUUGAAAAAUUAGCGGAUGACCUGUGGCUGGGGGUGAAAGGCCAAUCAAACCGGGAGAUAGCUGGUUCUCCCCGAAAGCUAUUUAGGUAGCGCCUCGUGAAUUCAUCUCCGGGGGUAGAGCACUGUUUCGGCUAGGGGGCCAUCCCGGCUUACCAACCCGAUGCAAACUGCGAAUACCGGAGAAUGUUAUCACGGGAGACACACGGCGGGUGCUAACGUCCGUCGUGAAGAGGGAAACAACCCAGACCGCCAGCUAAGGUCCCAAAGUCAUGGUUAAGUGGGAAACGAUGUGGGAAGGCCCAGACAGCCAGGAUGUUGGCUUAGAAGCAGCCAUCAUUUAAAGAAAGCGUAAUAGCUCACUGGUCGAGUCGGCCUGCGCGGAAGAUGUAACGGGGCUAAACCAUGCACCGAAGCUGCGGCAGCGACGCUUAUGCGUUGUUGGGUAGGGGAGCGUUCUGUAAGCCUGUGAAGGUGUGUCGUGAGGCAUGCUGGAGGUAUCAGAAGUGC
rnacentral:rRNA from 1 species